rnacentral:tRNA from 1 species
GUCUCCUUAGCUCAGUUGGUAGAGCAACUGACUCUUAAUCAGUGGGUCUGGGGUUCGAGCCCCCAAGGGGACA